AGAGAGAGACAUGCGCGCAUAUCAAUAAGCGGAGGAAAAGAAACUAACAAGGAUUCCCUUAGUAACGGCGAGUGAAGCGGGAAGAGCUCAAAUUUGAAAUCUUCAAGGUUCUACCUUGACGAAUUGUAGUUUAUAGAAGCGUUUUCUGUUAGUGGAGUGGCAAAAGUUCUUUGGAAUAGGACAUCAUAGAGGGUGAGAAUCCCGUAUUUGGUCAUUCCUCCUAGCGUUGUGAUACACUUUCAACGAGUCGGAUUGUUUGGGAAUGCAGUCCAAAAUGGGUGGUAAAUUUCAUCUAAAGCUAAAUAUUGGCGAGAGACCGAUAGCGAACAAGUACCGUGAGGGAAAGAUGAAAAGAACUUUGAAAGAGAGAGUUAAACAGUACGUGAAAUUGUCAAAAGGGAAGCGUUUGACACCAGUGUUGUUUUUCCGAAAAUCAAUUACGAAUGUUUUGUUUUUGAGGAGUUAUGACUUCAUCGGCUUGCUCCUUUCUUUACGAAACUUUCUUAAUGCACUUUUCGGUUAACAAGUCAACAUCAAUUUCUUUUGUUGUAAAAGGGUAUGAGGAAGGUGGCUUUCUUUUCGGAGAAAGUGUUUAUAGCCUUGUGCCUCUGCAAUCGGAGAGAUUGAGGUCUGCAGCGUAGAUCCUUCGGGGUUAGAUACAGUUUGUGCUAAGUUAUAGCUUUUCAUAGACAACUUGUUGACUAUGUUUAGUCUUGUAGCUUACUCGCUUAUGCUAUUUUACCUACGCUUAGGAUGUUGAUAGUCACAGCGUGUAC
rnacentral:rRNA from 1 species